UACGGAGGGAGCUAGCGUUGUUCGGAAUUACUGGGCGUAAAGUGCACGUAGGCGGCUUUGUAAGUUAGAGGUGAAAGCCCGGGGCUCAACUCCGGAACUGCCUUUAAGACUGCAUCGCUUGAAUCCAGGAGAGGUGAGUGGAAUUCCGAGUGUAGAGGUGAAAUUCGUAGAUAUUCGGAAGAACACCAGUGGCGAAGGCGGCUCACUGGACUGGUAUUGACGCUGAGGUGCGAAAGCGUGGGGAGCAAACAGG
rnacentral:rRNA from 1 species